UCAGCGCCGCGCGCGACGGCCACAGCCGGGUCAGAAAAGUGGACGCCGCACCCCCGGCUUUCUGGGAGCGGAACGCACAGGUCGGCCCCGCAGCCCGGCUCGCCCUCUUCUCGCUGCCCCUGCGCACCGAUUCUCUUCGGGAAUCGUCCACAAGAGCCCGAGGCCGCCCUCUCCUUCCGGCGGCGGCCGCGCCGGGCCCGCGGCCCUGGACGCCCGCCCCCCCAAGUGCCGGCGCAGCCCGGCGACUCCGCCGCCCCAAGUUCGCCCGAGCAUUGAGGCAUUUGGCACUUGGCGGACAGCUAGUCGGUAUUUUUAUUGACUCAGGGUGCACAGCCCCAAGCACUGUUGAUCCACAGUUCCUUGGUGCAUCUUUUCUGUUGGAGAAACCAGGACAGACUGAGAGGAACAUUUUGUCUUGAUUUCAAACUCAAGUGAGGAAGACUGAUCUGCCCAGCUCAAGCCAGAAUUAUCACUCAGUAACUCGUGUGAUAACAGACUUAAUAGAACUGAUUUUAUAUUUUCGAAGGAAAAAAUGUGAAUCAUGUAUUCCUGCCUAGGUUUUGAGCUGACCAGAGAAAAUCACCAUCACAAUGACCAAAUCAAAGAGCUGCAUGGGACCUAAGAGGAAAUGGCAGAUACACUCGGAAAAUCCAGAGUAACAGGAACUCAGAACCAUCAUGGGUUAGAGACAUGAUCAGUGCAAGAAGAUGCCGCUUGGGUCAGGGAACCCCUAACAUGGGACAUGAGUUUGACUGGUGAAAUAUGUGCCCGUGCAAAUCUUAUUCUCUAUUUUCUAUAAUCACCAUCUGAAAUCAAUAAGUGAAGUACACCACAGUCUAAUGUAUCUUACUAUUCAUCUUCAUACUUUAAAAUAAACAUGAUUUCUUGGCUUCUCUUUUCAGCCUUGUGAGUGGGCUUGCAGGGAAAGCCCUUUCACUCCUAAUAUGCAGCUCCCACCUCUUUGACUUCAGAGCAAAGCCCCCAGCUCCCUUCUGUAUCAUGUCAUCUCACCUGUGCAACAGACCUCCCCUUAACUCACUGCAGCCCUCAGAGACCAGGCUGCAUCUUUAACAAGCUUAACUGAAGCGUGGGGAGUAUCAGAAGAGAAGGACAUCGUAGCCCCGCUGCUGGAUUUGGCUCCCCGGUCCCCAACCUCCGGGACCUAAUGCCUGAUGAUCUGAAGUGAAAGCUGAUAUAAUAGAAAUAAAGUGCACAACAAAUGUAAUACACUUGAAUCGUCCUGAAACCAUCCCCUCUGCCUCCUGGUCCAUGGCAAAAUGGCCUUCCACGAAACCAAUCCCUGGUGCCAAAAAGGUUGGGGACCCCUGAGCUACCAGAUGAGCUUACCCCAAACCCAGCGAGGCUCAGACCCAUUCUGAAUCCUCCACAAAGAUUUGCCUGUGUAGCUCCCAUCCCUGUCCUGCUCAGGCCGACCCCAGAAGCAGGUCAAAGGUAUCCACAACUCCAAGCACAAGCCUACUGCCAAGCUCCAGACAUGGGAAGGAGGUGUUUCCUUCCCCCGGUUUGGAGCCCACUUCUCCAGUUAUCAUUGGCCCAGUGACUGAUUACUUUUCCUAAGAUAACAGACCAACAGAAUCAUGAACUUGUCUCAUGGUUCCCUGUAGGAUAAUGCAUCAAAACACACCAGUACAGUAUCAAUACAUUCUAGAUUAUUUGACCUUAUGUAGGCCACAGACAGGGUUUCCCAGGUGGCGCUAGUGGUAAAGAA